rnacentral:lncRNA from 1 species
CAAAACCUCAUGGUUCCUAGUUGGAUGUGUUUCCACUGCGCCACUAUGGGCACUCCAUAUUCUCUGGUUUUAAAUGAAAUUGUUCAUGCAACAGCUUCUGCUCCCAAGACUCUCAUAAAUGCCUGUAUCUCUCUGCCUCAUGCUCCCUCAAAGCUCACAAAUGACAGUUUUAUUGCUUAAAACCAGGUUGUGUUACACAAAGUCAGCUACAACUCAGUAUUUCCUUACUGUGUAUUUUAGGGUUGCUUUAACAAAAUCUGAUUUAUGGACAUGCUAGGUAGAUUAUCUAUUGAGUAGACAAAAGGAGAAGACAAAGGGAGAAAUGCCACGUAGUGACACAACUGGUACACACAUCUCCACUUCGCUCUUAGCAGCCAGGCUCCUUCCUUGACUCUGGUCAUAGACAAGGGAGGAAGGCCUCAUUCUAACCCCAGGGUUCUCCUAAUUCCUUUGGAUCAGAGCUAGGAUAAUGCUCAUAGCUGACAUGCAGUUUGCCAGCUUCCAUAACCCAUAGUUAAAAUGGUUUCUUUCUAUCCAUGACUUCUUCAUUCAUGCCCGGAGACUUCUUGAGCACAAGCAUUUCUGGAUGUACUGGAGAUGCAGAGAGGCUAAACUGUGGUGUCAGCCCUUAAAGAGCUCACAGUCUAUGCAGGAGACUGGGUGAGUCAAACAAUAGGUACAGUGCGGAAGGCUCAGCACUGUGGGGGGCUUGGGGUGCCACUGACUGUGCUUUAGGGCGUCUUGGAAGGCUUCACUGUGCAGAGAACAUGAACUUGAUCGUCACGGGUGACUCCCAUUUACAAGGAGAAGAAAGGAAGUCAUUCCUUGAUGAAAGAGAAGGGAGUGGAUCUGCAAAGGCAGAGGUGACGCCACAGCUUCCAACUAAGAGCACUUAGAGGGGCUUAAGUGCAAUAAUCUGUUUGAAGAAGGGUUCACGACACCUGCAGUUUAACAUAUAUAGCAGCCAAGUCGCUUUUUAUAUAACCACCUAAUGAAAUGAGAAAUUAGAGACUUAUCUGGGGCAUAAUAACUAACUAUGGGCUUGGAUAAAAAUGGCAGGAGGGCCAAAGCACCUGGACCACCUUCCAAGGCACCUCUUGGCAUCGAAUCUGCAGGGAAGUGAAAGGACGUAGAAUGCUGGCGAAGGCAGAAGUGUGGUUUGCCUAGAGGAGAGGCUGUCUCACUCUCUGUGUUGGAUGCUGAUAUCGGACAGGUUGGGUAGCAUUCAUGGUGAAGGGCUCUGCGGUGCAUGUCUCAGGAGUUUGGACUUGAUGUUUUGUAGAGCGGUGGUUCCUAGCCUGGAGGUGACCUUGUUCGCAGGGCACGUUCGGCAAUGUCCGCAAACCGUUUUGGUUGUCACAGCUGGGGGUUGGCGAUGGAUUCAUUUCAUUUUGUGGCUGUAACAAAUUACCCCAAACACAAAUUUAUUAUCUUACACUUGCAGAGGUCAGAAGCUUGAGUGGGUCUCCUUGGGCUGAAGUCCAGGUGCUGGCAGGGCUGUGUUCCUUCCGAAGGCUCCAGGGUCAGUUUCCUUUGCUUUCCAGUGUCCCCCUCCAGCCAUGUUGCAUCUCUUGGGCCCUUCUUCAAUCAUUUCUUCCUCAGACUCUCUGAAGGAUGCUUGUGAUUUCAUAGGGCUCACCUGGAUAAUGCAAAGUGCUCUCAUUGUUUUAAGGUCACUUGAUUUGCAACCUUUAAUUCUAUCUGUGGCCUUAAUUCCCCUUCCGCAUGUAACCUAACAUAGUGACAGGUUCCAGAGAUUGGGACAUAGAUCUCUUUGGUGGGACAUUAUUCUGCCUACUUAAAGGGAAGGUGGUGCCAGUGGCAUCUAGUGGGGGGAGGCCAGGGGUGCUGCUCCACACCCUGCAAUGCGCAGGACAGCUUCCCUAACAGAGAAUUACCUGGCGCUCCAUGUCACGUGUGCCCAGGCUGAGAAACCCUGUGGAGGAAAUGGGGGGAAAUGGGUGAUUUUUAAGCCUGAGUGUGUAAUAGGAUUGGAUAUGUGUUUUAGAGAGCUCACUCUAGAGUCUCUGGGGGCCAUGCAUCAGUAGUAGAGUGAAACAAGUGGGCGGACAGAUCCUCAGAGGAGGUGGCCUGGGGAAACCAUGCCGAGCACCCUAUACACACGUGGGAGUUGGCAGAGAAACGUAAUACUUCUGUAUGUCUUACCUUCCCAUUUUAGCAGAUUGUUUUCUUACACCUAUUGAACUGCUUCCGAUAGGUCGGUCUCCGUAGACCAGUGGUUCUCAACCAGAGUGUGAGUCUGCAGCCUGGGCAGAUUUGGCAAUACCUAUGGGCAUUUUUGAUUGCCGGAGAUGUGGCUGGGGAGGGGGUGUGUGCUACCAGCACCUGAUGGGUAGAAGCCAGAGCUGCUGCUGAUCAUUCUACAGUGCACAGGACAGACCGCCACAACAAAUCUCUACUCAAAAUUUCACUAGCAUGAAGGUUGAGAAUCCCUAUGUAACGAACUACGUCAUACAAGAAGCUGAAUUCUAGGUUUUGCUUUCCAGUAUCUUUUUCUCUCAUGCUCCUGGCUUUAUUCUUUGCUAUUUCUUCUUCUUUCCUGGUAUAUGUCAACCAAGGCUUUGAAUGGGAUAAAACCACCUUUUCAAAAGGUAUUGAGGAGUUCCCGUCAUGUCGGAUUCCUUAACCCCUGCGCCACGACGGAAAUUCCCUGUGUCACCAUUCUUAUGCCUGCUUAGUUUUACUGGGCCAGAGAUGCCUUCAGUUUUCCCCUCUUUUUUUUUUUCUCCUGUUGUCUCCAAUAAGUUAUCAGAGCCUGUUGUGUUGACUCCUCAUUUGCUCCAUUCUAGCAAGGAUUUGAAGAGGAAUGCAUCCAAAUGCUUCCAUCUUUCUCCAGCUGUUCCUUCUCGUUGCCACUGCCUAGUUUGGGUCCUCAUUUACUGUGGCCUCCUGCUUGGUCACUCUGCCUUCAGUUUUUCCCUCUUCCCACCGGGCUGAGGGGCCUUCUGCUCCCAAGACGCAACUGUAAUCACGCUAGCUCCGCAAGUAAAAACCUUUGCUAGGGCGCUGUGUGUACAGAAUGAAAUCCAAACCGCUUAGCCAGUCCUUCCAGAGCCUCUUACACUAUCAUCUAAGCUGACCUCCUCCCCUUUCCCGAGGAAUUCUGGUCCAACAAAACCAAACUGGCCACUCAGCCAGGUUGUCAUGGGAUGUUUUAUCAAGCAGCAGCUCUGCAGCAGACACUGGGGAUGGAUGCGGAGUCAGCAGGCAUGGCCUCGCAGGUGCUUACCCUUUUGUGACAUCUCUGCACUUGCUCAGAAUGCUGUGGCAUUAAAGACAGGAGGACUGUGGUAGACGGAAUGAUGUCCCGCCCCAACAAGGUCCGUGUCCUUGUUCCCAGAACCCACGGGUGUGUUACCUUAUAUGGGAAAAGAGCCUUUGCGGAUGUGAUUAAGUCAAGGACCUUGCGAAGAGGAGGUGAUCCUGGAUUAUGUGGGUGAGUCUAAUGUAAUCACAAGGAUCCUUAUAGGAAGGAAGCAGGAAGGUCACAGUUUGAGAAGACGAUAUGAGGACAGAAUCAGAGUGAGAAAGAGACAGACACACGUGCACGCACACACAUACAGACUGAUUUUGAAGAUGCUGCAUUUCUAGCUUGUAGAUGAAGGAAGGAGCUGUGACCCAAGGAAUGGGGCAGCCUCUAGAGGCUGGAAAAGGAAGGAAAUAGAUUCUCCUCUAGAACCUUCAGGUCACCAGCUCUGCCAUCUCCAGAACUGUAAGACAAUAAACGAAUAUCAUUUUAAGCCGUGAUACUUGUGAAAAUUUGCUCUAGCAGCCAGGCACUAAGAAGGUCCGAGAUAUCUCAGCUGGAACCUGUGGCUAAGGAGCCUUUUGCCAAACACAAAGGAGGGAUGUGGUACUUCAGCUAGAAAGAAAGGCCUGUAGGUAAGAGGGCCAUAGUGCGCUUCAAGAACUUGGAGUGAUCCAACUGGAAACACCUACAGGAGUGGGAAGAGGGUGAAGGAAUAAGUCUGACUGGGCCUUGAGCUUCAUGAUCCAGCUAAGGAUUGAUGAUUUAAUGCACAGGUUCUCUUCAGGGAUUUUUUCCUCUCUCCUCAUUCCCGCUUCUGAUCACCUGGUUCCAUGUCUCCCUGAGACAGCUCCACCACACGUUAUGCCUCAACCAGAUGCUACUUCCAAAGAAAUAAGUUUUGGCUAUGGUUCAUGUCAUGACUUAUUCAGGAUUUAUGGAAACGUGAGCUCAGUUUUCCAUAGCCAGGUUCUGCUGCUUCCAAUCUGGUACCUGCCUAAGAGAAAGUAUUUCAUACCGGGAUGCAUUUAAUGACUGGGGGAAUCUGUGUUCUGACAGUGGUUCUCCACCUCCCGGAGACACAGCUUUGGGACAUGUUGUCUUGGACUCAGGUCUCCUGCUUCCUCUCUAGGUCAUUGGUUAUAAGAACGAGACUGAGACUGUAGAGGCAGCUGUGUACAUUAUGGCAAAAAAUGGAAUGCAGUGUGUGAAAAAGUGAAACUAGUUAUUGUGUUAGCUAGUAAAGAAUGAUGUUUUCAGUAGCUAUUAGGGAAAUAGAAAUCAAAUCCACAGUGAGAUACCACUUCAUAUGGCCAUGCCAUAGCCCUAUGUAUGGCUUUAAUAAUAAUAAUAAUAAAAAAAAGACGGAUGAUAGCAAGUGUUGGCAAAGAUGUGAAGGAAUCGAAAUCUCAUGCACUGCUUGCUGGUGAAAAUGUAAAAUGGUGCAACAGCUUUGAAAAACAGUUUGGCAGUUUCUCAAGAAGUUAAGCAUUGACCAUGUUACCCCGCAAUUUCACCUUCAGGUGUCUUCCCAAGAGAGCUGAGGAUACAUGUGUACAUGAAGACUUGUAAGUUAAUGUUCCCAGCAGUUAUUCGCGGUGGCCGAAAUGGUGGGAACAACCAAAUGUCUCUCAACAGAUGAAUGGGGAGAGAAAACACGGUCUGUCUAUGCGAUGCAAGAUUAUUCAGCAAUGAGACGGAAUGGAGUAGCGAUACAGGCUGCAACGUGGAUAAACCUUGAAAACGUCAUGCUAAGUGAAAGAAGCCAAUCACAAAGGACCAUGUGUUAUAUGAGUCUCUUCAUAUGAAAUGUCCAGAAUAGGCAAACAUGUAGAGAGAGAGAAUAGGUUAGUGGUUGCCAGAGGCUGGCAGUAGGGAGUGAUGAUGGAUAUACCAUCUUUUUUGGGUUGAUGAGAAUGUUCUGGAACUAGAUAGAGGUGAUGGUGGCACAGCAGGGGGAGUACACUAAAAAUCUCUGAGCCGUGUACUUUAAACAGGUAGAUUUUCUGGUAUGUGAAUUCUAAUAUCCAUUUAAAAAAGAACACUGUUUAUGACUUUUAGAAAAUAUGUCAGUAUUUUUGCCACAUCAUAUUUUCAGUAGAAUAUAAACAUAAAUGUAGAUGAGCAGAGUUAUCUAGUAGGCCCAGGCCUAAUGUGUAUUAAAUUCUGUCCUUAAAGAUGCCACAUGGAGGUAGGAACGACUCUGGUAGAUUCAGUGGAGGAGACAGAGAGCAGCCUGGGAUUUUCUGAGAUUGGUUACCGUGGUAAUUGCACCCUGAUUAUUAUGCUUUGGAAGCAAGCACAGAAAAGCUAUUAAAAUGUUUGUUUUUUUCCAAAUAGGCAGAGACUUUAAAAAGUACUUAUCUUGAAAAAUUGCCUGGACAUACCACACUAGAGUUAUUAAAUAGCCAAAGAUUUUCAGGAGCCAUUAGAGCUAAAAGCAACUUGAGAAACCACCCAUCAGGUCAUGUGGUGAUAGACCCAAGAGAGAAGGCUGAGCCUGGAAUGUCUGAAAACACUGGAAAUGAACUGAGUUGGGUUGCCCGUGGGUCAAGGGAAGUAACAUGGCUUUGCUUCUGUAUCCCUGGACACUCGUGGGAACAGGUGAAUGAAUAUCACCUACAGGAGCUGAAAUGUGAAUAAGCCUGAAAUCAGUUCUCACCUUGUAGCCCAUAACUUCAUCUCUCAGGGGUUGAGAAACCGCCACGCUGGUUCUCUGAGACCCACCUGUGGAUCGGGAGGGGGUAAGAGAAACCUUAGGUGACAAUAGCCACAUUGCCGUGGGGUUUAUUACAACAAGGCCUCUGCUAUGGUUAAUAAUUCGGUCCAUGGAAUUCCUGAAGUGGGCCACCAGGUUUUCUGGCUUUUGAGCCAAGUAGCCUUCUGCUCAUAUGGAAACUUCCAGUUGAUUCCUUGCUCACUCAUUUCAGUGGCUGGGUGACGAUAAUCACUAUGAGUGAAGUAACAAUUAGUGUUUGUAGAACACGCAGCGGUUUUUUAUUACAAUGACUCUGCGGGGUGAUGGUAUCAACCUUGAGUCUCAUUAGGAAGUGCCAGACUUAGGAGUUCCCGUCAUGGCUCAGUGGUUAAUGAAUCCGACUAGGAACUAUGAGGUUGCGAGUUCGAUCCCUGACCUCGCUCAGUGGGUUAAGUAAGGAUCCUGUGUUGCCGUGGCUGUGGUGUAGGCCAGCGGCUACAGCUCCGAUUCGACCCCUAGCCUGGGAACCUCCAUAUGCUGCGGAAGCAGCCCUAGAAAAGGCAAAAAAAAAAAAAAAAAAAAAAAAAAAA